rnacentral:rRNA from 1 species
GACGAACGCUGGCGGCGUGCUUAACACAUGCAAGUCGAACGGAAAGGCCCUGCUUUUGUGGGGUGCUCGAGUGGCGAACGGGUGAGUAACACGUGAGUAACCUGCCCUUGACUUUGGGAUAACUUCAGGAAACUGGGGCUAAUACCGGAUAGGAGCUCCUGCUGCAUGGUGGGGGUUGGAGAGUUUCGGCGGUUGGGGAUGGACUCGCGGCUUAUCAGCUUGUUGGUGGGGUAGUGGCUUACCAAGGCUUUGACGGGUAGCCGGCCUGAGAGGGUGACCGGCCACAUUGGGACUGAGAUACGGCCCAGACUCCUACGGGAGGCAGCAGUGGGGAAUAUUGCACAAUGGGCGGAAGCCUGAUGCAGCAACGCCGCGUGCGGGAUGACGGCCUUCGGGCUGUAAACCGCUUUCGCCUGUGACGAAGCGUGAGUGACGGUAAUGGGUAAAGAAGCACCGGCUAACUACGUG